AAAAACAUAAACUCGGGAACAUGUUUUGGUGCUAAUGUGGUAUUUGUAUUUCAACUCUUCAGUUAAUACAAACAGCCUCAGUUUUCUCAAAAUCAAACUUGAUAGCACUUAAUAAAGUUGAACGUUAAAGCUUUUACAUGUCUGUGAUUGCCCUCCCAGAUAGGAUUAUAGAAAACUGAGGGGUUUGUAUGAAUGGUGAGUCCCUUCCAUAUUGUCUGGGCACCUCCUUCCUCUACCUACCUAUCUGUUUGCUAAACAAAGGUUGUAGCUUUAGGCAGGAGGUCCCAAUUUUGAGCCAGGCCCACUUAGUGGGUUUGUGAAAAUUUCUGAGUGUGUAAAAAGGUUAAUUGAACGAGAACUGUUAACAGGUUUUUAAUUUUGUUCUUAUAAUAUCAAUUCUGAUCUAAGAGAGCCUCAGUUUUUUCAAUUUCUAAGCUUCAGUGAAGUGGUGAAUGAUGUGAGAACUUCCACACUUCAUGAAGUGUAGUAGAGUGUAGAUUUUACAGAAGAAGAAUUGUUAAAGCUUUCUAGAUUCAUUUUCCUACGUUUUAUAUAUAUUGUUCUGAUGCAGGGAGCAGUAAGAGAUAGUGUGAGAGUGAAUAGGGUGGGAUGGAGAGUGUUGAGAGAUUAUAGGAAACAGAAGGAUUUUAAGAGAAACAGGAGUUUCUUAGUUGAAGAAGGGAGAAAUAGAAUAAGGGAGGUUAGGGGAGAGGAUACAAGGCCAAGCCUUCAAAAGAUAAACUCUUAAUUCAUUCCAAUCUGCCCCCGGAUUACAUUAGAAAGCCAUAUUUAUAGCCUUAGACUCCCAGAAUACCAUAAGACUAAUAUAACUGAUUAAUAAUAAGACUCUUAAAUACUUAAGACUUAAAGAGACAUAAAGACACACUCAAGACUCUUUAAAACACUAGACUCAUAAUUAUUAUUUUCAUAACUGAAAGUAAAUUUUGUAACUGAAAAUAAACCUGUUAAUACCCUUAACUACCAAGUAGACUUUCCUUUGGACCAAAAAUGGUUGGGCUUAGUCUUUGGCUUCCAAAGAGGAUAUUUCUGUUCCAGCCAGCUUAUGGCUGCUCCAUUAAUUCUCCCCCUCUGAAAAGAACUCAACUUGGUUGAGUUUGGAACUGGACCAAGUAUAUCAUCACUUUCGGUCUGCUUAAGGAGGAACGUGCCAGCUGUCUUUUUGAGCUUUAUGAUGGGCAAAUCUUUAGAUGGUACGAGCUUGAACUCGUGACUUCCAUCUUGGAAGGAAUAUGUGUUGUUGUAGCCACAAUGCUGCACCUUCUUAUCAUAUAGCCAUGGUCGGCCCAAAAGAAUAUGACACACUUUCAUGGGCAGCACAUCACAGGUUACCGUGUCAACCAACUUCCCAAUGGAAUAGGUCACCAAACAACGAUCAUUGACCUUGAGAUUUGUGUUGUUUACCCAUGCCACCUUAUGAGGAUUUGGAUGUGGUUCGGUAGACAACCCAAGUUUGCGAACAGCUUCUUCAGAGAUGAUAUUAGAGCAGCUCCCUCCAUCUAUGACUAGGGUGCACAACUGAUUACUGCAUCGAACACGGGUUUGGAAAAUGUUACUCCUACGCCAAUCUUCCUCGUGCUCCUUUUGUGUAGUGAGAACAGGCCGUAGUACUAAACAUGGGUCAUACACUUCUACUUCCAUCUCCGAUUCUUUUUCUGCUUCCAACUCAACAACUUCAUUUGCCUUCUGUUCAGUGUUGGCAGCUGCAGUAGGAGUCUCCUUAUCUGCAAAAGCAACUAAACGAUUUGGGCAUUGUACUGCCAAGUGUCCAAAACCCCUACAUUUCCAGCAUUUAAUUUCAGUCCUCAUAUUAGAGGCAGAACCAGCAGCCUUUUGUGCACUCUUAAGGGCAGAAGAACUCACUAAUUGGUUGGAAGAUGAGGACUCACUAUGAGUUUUCUCAUUUGAGUCGCUCGAUGUAGGGGUGAAUCCUCCAUAAGAUUUGUCUACUAUCUUCCCUUUGUUUGAAAAUGACAUGGACGAUCUCUUCUUAUAUUCUUCCUCCAUUUGGUAGGCAAUCUGGACAGCAUCAUUCAUCGUAUAAAUUCGACUUGCUGCUAAUCCCGAAGAAAUAUGGAGAUUCAAGCCCUUGCGGUACAUCGAUAUCAUGAUGUCUUCAUUCCAUGGAAAAUCAGAUUUUGCAGCCAAGCUAUAGAACUUAUUAGUAUACUCUUCAACAGUUAAGCUUCCUUGCACCAAUUCCACAAACUGUAGAUGGACCCGUUGCUUAUAGUUAGGUGGCACAAAGAAACGUGUCAGAGCCAUCUUCAUGUCUUCCCAAGUUCGGAUAACUGCAAGAUGAGUUUGUUGGUAUUUUUCCCACCAAACUCUAGCUGUUCCCUUCAAUUUAGCUUCUGCAAAAGAGAUCUUUCGCUCCUCCGCCAACUGAUGCCAUUUGAAGUAACUUUCCAAGCUGUGUAGCCAAUCAAGGAAUACCUCAGGAUUGCUGUCACCAUUGAAAUCAACAAUAUCUAAUUUUUAUGCCCUUUUCUGAAGCAGACUGUCUUGACUCUCCACGCCUAGAGUCUGAUCCUGAAAAUGAAUCCUGACCACUGUCUUUUGAAUUCUCCUUAACCAAGGCAGACAUAUACUGAAAACCAUGUUCUAAAGAAGUCAGUUUUUCAAGCACCUCCUGGAACAUCUUUUUUUGGCAUUCAGAUUCUUGAGACAAACUGUCCACUUUGGAUGAGAGCUCUGCGUUAGUAACCAUUGUAGUGCUCAGGGUAAGGUGAAGGUAAAAAAUAGGAUGUUUUGGCUCUGGUACCAAAUCUGAUGCAGGGAGCAGUAAGAGAUAGUGUGAGAGUGAAUAGGGUGGGAUGGAGAGUGUUGAGAGAUUAUAGGAAACAGAAGGAUUUUAAGAGAAACAGGAGUUUCUUAGUUGAAGAAGGGAGAAAUAGAAUAAGGGAGGUUAGGGGAGAGGAUACAAGGCCAAGCCUUCAAAAGAUAAACUCUUAAUUCAUUCCAAUCUGCCCCCGGAUUACAUUAGAAAGCCAUAUUUAUAGGCUUCACGUAAAACCCUUAGACUCCCAGAAUACCAUAAGACUAAUAUAACUGAUUAAUAAUAAGACUCUUAAAUACUGGUGACUUAAAGAGACAUAAAGACACACUCAAGACUCUUUAAAACACUGGACUCAUAAUUAUUAUUUUCAUAACUGAAAGUAAAUUUUGUAACUGAAAAUAAACCUGUUAAUACCCUUAACUACCAAGUAGACUUUCCUUUGGACCAAAAAUGGUUGGGCUUAGUCUUUGGCUUCCAAAGAGGAUAUUUCAUUUUCCUACGUUUUAUAUAUAUUGUUCUUUUGGUAUUUCUAUUGAUACUACUUGUAAUGUGGAUCACUAGUAUUUGACUGUAUGUUCCACAUCUCCACCCAACAAUUUAUUAAGCUUGUUUUUAUUGUUCUUCUUUUUCCCCUUUUCAACAGAAAC
rnacentral:lncRNA from 1 species